rnacentral:lncRNA from 1 species
AUGGCCAUGCAUGAGUCAUGUUGGUAAACUAACGAGAGGAUGUGGUGUGUAGAUAGAGAUAAUGAAAGAGGUCCAAAAGUAGGUGGACCGGUACGGUGUCGGUUCGUUCAACUCACCACCGGUGUUGGUUUGGUCAAAAUGAAUUAUAAUCAUCAUCGAGAUGAUCAACUUGGAUUAGUUUUUUUUUUCUUUUAAUUUCAUGUAUACGUACGUGUGAUCAUACGUACGUACCAUUUUGUAAUCAUAGUUCCGAACAAGAACUAUACGUUCCUCGAAAGUCCAUUUCCGAAAGACAAAGAAGAAUACAUGAUGUAAUAUUGUUGACCCAUACGGUUAACUAACUAC